rnacentral:rRNA from 1 species
UACAGAGGGGGCAAGCGUUGUUCGGAAUUACUGGGCGUAAAGCGAGUGUAGGCGGUUUGGAUAGUCGGAUGUGAAAGCCCCGGGCUCAACCCGGGAAGUGCAUUCGAUACUCCCAAGCUAGAGUAUCGGAGAGGUUGGUGGAAUUCUCGGUGUAGAGGUGAAAUUCGUAGAUAUCGAGAGGAACACCGGUGGCGAAGGCGGCCAACUGGACGAAUACUGACGCUGAGACUCGAAAGCGUGGGGAGCAAACAGG